GGGACAUUUCACCAGUGCCCCAACACUCCUCCUUUGCCUUUGGGGAAGCUGCCAUGACAAGCUGCUUUAGGCCGAAUCUGGACUUCGCGCCACUCCGCUGCUUUCCCGCCACGCUGGAGCCGCUGCCCCCGGCAGGAGACGCAGGCCGCCCCUGGACUCACUUCCAUCCUUCCCGGGUGGAGAUGCCUUGGGGGCCACGCUUCUGCCUUUCUGGCGUCUUUCUACUGGACUCGCUUGUGGGCCUGUUUUCUACGAUGUCCUUUUGUUUUUCUAAACCACAUCUGGAAUUUUCUAAUAAAGGGAGCUGAAAAUUGGG